CUCAUUCUCACUCACUCUCUGCUGUAAUUUUCGGGAGGAGAUUUGGAAGAUUCUUGCUGUUUUCGUAGUCAAGGCUAAGUCAAGUUACAGCACUUCCAGAAGAUAUUGUUUUCCCCCUGAGGACGGUCUUGGAUGUUGCUGCAAUGGAGCAAAAAUUGGCAGACCCCACCUUCCACAAACAAGUGGUUGGUGUGGUGGCAGAAAUUGGAGGAAGAACAUUGGAUGAAGCCACCAGAAGAAUGAUGGCCUUCCUUUUAGACCACACCCUAUCAAGAGAGUACAAUUUUGUUGGCUGCCAUGGAAAGCGAGAGUUUCGGGGGCUCAAACUGUUUGAGGUAGUAUAUGGAAGCUUGAAAAAAAAUGCCCUUACAAACCAGAUUACUAGAAGAGAUGCUGAAAAGGCAGUGUCAAAGUUGUCAAUUGGUGCCAGGGACAGGGCAGGAAACCGUACAGCGAGGGCACGUGGUGGAGAGCAAGAUGGGGCUGUUGGGAGAGCGACAACAGAGGACUGAGAUUCUGCACUUUUGUUUUUGUAAGUGAAGUAUAGAGUUUUCUGACAGAGGACUGUAAAACUGCACUUAUGUUUUGUUUGUGAAAUAUAAAGUUUGUCAAAAGCUUUCACUUUUGAUACUUGUCUGUUAAUACACA
rnacentral:lncRNA from 1 species